ensembl:lncRNA
GGAGAUUCCGGAUACCUGCCCUAGGAACAACUAACACCUAUCCCCUCCCCCAUUUCCUUAGCUAGUGCCUGAGAUAAACACAGGAAAUUCAGAACACCUGCCUGAGAACAAUUAACUCAUCCCUGCCCCCACUUCCUUUUUCUCUGCUCCUCUCUUCUCUUUAAAAAGCUCCUUGGUUUCAAUAAAAAUUGGCCUUGACAAGAGAAUUUGCUUGGUCCGGCUCUUUCUUUCCCGCCCAUUAUUUACAGGCGUGAUCCACCUCGGACCCACGAAUUACUGGAGCCCCGCGGGCCGGGGCAGGUGGCGCCCGAACGUGCGGCUCGAGGUACGGAUUCUUCGUCGGAACGGAGACCCCCGCCCCAAGGAAACCUCGGUAGUGCACACCGACAAGGAAGUCUGCUCGUCGGAUUGCGACGGACGCUGGUCUGGGAAAAGUUCUCACCGCUCAUGAGUGACUGAUUCCCUGAUAAAAGAUGCUGUCUUUUUGGCUACUUGUGUGUUCCCGCCUUCGAUUGCCAUUGCCACUGGAAGCCCUUAUCAGAUCUACAACUACACCUGGAUGAUCAUCAACCCUGCCAAUGAUGCUGCCAACUGAUGCUGUCAAUGCCUUCACAACUAUUGCGACCACCCCCUCCUUUCCCCCCCUAAUAGUUGACUUAUAUACUUUAGCCUUAGGGGCCUCUCCAGACUAGGGAACCCCUGACCAUUUUCCCCCCAGGAGCUCCCUUUUCCGCUGACCUUAUUCUAUCCUUAAUUAACCCUACUGUUCAGGCCCUCCAUCAAGCCAGCCACUCCCUUAUAGAGGACGGUUGGGUCUGCUAUUCUUCCACCCAUCCCUUUUCUGAGGGAAUUGCAGGCAUUUAAUUUCUACCUUGCCAGUUAUACUAGAUUGACUACUUAAACUGUCACCUUUACCUUUUCAGAAACUAACCAGAUUCAUUAAGCACCAGAUUGACACCAUCCUCGAAAAACCGGUUUUGGUUUACUACCAUCGCCUAGCAGCAUUAGAUUCUGAGCUGCCUGACGAUAAUAACCCUCCCCCCAGUCCUAAAGGACUGGAUUUUUCAGGCCUUGAACAUCGAACCUCCCGAUUUCAUUGGCCUUGGAGCCGUCCAUGACGGGAAAUAUCGUGGUGCCCCAAGCCAGAUGCCGACCCUUCCCAACGGCUGUAGCGUCCUCCAUGACGGGUUUAGCGUGAGACUGACCCCCAGAUGCCCACUCCAAAGCACUCCCGAGCUGCUAGCCUUAUGAAAGGCCAUCGGAGUGCUGGGGACAGGUGCAUCUCACGUAGCCUAAGACAGAGGCACUACCCCUCACUGUCAUAUAAAUGACAAUAUCAUAAAACAUAGGGUCCUGGAUACGGGUGCCCAUCACGUAGCCUAAGCCAGACGCUCCAUUUUAUUAUACUUAGUAGGGGGAGAUGUCAGAAGCCAGCCUUGGCGACCCCAUACCUAGUUAGACGCCAGAAAGUCUAGUUUACCACAGGAGAUUCCGGAUACCUGCCCAAGGAACAACUAACACCUAUCCCCUCCCCCAUUUCCUUAGCUAGUGCCUGAGAUAAACACAGGAAAUUCAGAACACCUGCCUGAGAACAAUUAACUCAUCCCUCCCCCCACUUCCUUUUUCUCUGCUCCUCUCUUCUCUUUAAAAAGCUCCUUGGUUUCAAUAAAAAUUGGCCUUGACAAGAGAA